GAGAAAUAUGGCUUUGUAACCCUCACACAGAGUCUCAACAAGGGUACUGCCUAGUGUAUCUGUGAGAAGAAGACCACCAUCCUCCAGGCCCCAGAAUAGUAG